GAACGCUAGCGGCAGGCUUAACACAUGCAAGUCGAGGGGUAUGCCGAUUUAUCGGCAGAGACCGGCGCACGGGUGCGUAACGCGUAUGCAAUCUACCUUUCACAGAGGGAUAGCCCAGAGAAAUUUGGAUUAAUACCUCAUAGUAUAGCAGUUUCGCAUGAAACCACUAUUAAAGUCACAACGGUGAAAGAUGAGCAUGCGUCCCAUUAGCUAGUUGGUAAGGUAACGGCUUACCAAGGCAACGAUGGGUAGGGGUCCUGAGAGGGAGAUCCCCCCACACUGGUACUGAGACACGGACCAGACUCCUACGGGAGGCAGCAGUGAGGAAUAUUGGACAAUGGGCGCAAGCCUGAUCCAGCCAUGCCGCGUGCAGGAUGACGGUCCUAUGGAUUGUAAACUGCUUUAUACAGGAAGAAACACUACUUCGUGAAGUAGCUUGACGGUACUGUAAGAAUAAGGAUCGGCUAACUCCGUG
rnacentral:rRNA from 1 species